UACGUAGGGUGCAAGCGUUGCCCGGAUUUAUUGGGCGUAAAGGGCGCGUAGGCGGCUCGGCACGUCCGUUGUGAAAUCGCCCGGCUCAACUGGGCGGGGUCAGCGGAUACGGUCGAGCUUGAGCAAGCUAGGGGGCAAUGGGAAUUCCCGGUGUAGUGGUGGAAUGCGUAGAGUAUCGGGAGGAACACCAGUGGCGAAGGCGGUUGCCUGGGGCUUUGCUGACGCUGAUGCGCGGAAAGCGUGGGGAGCGAUCCGG
rnacentral:rRNA from 1 species